CUGUCCGUCCGGUCGUCUGCCCGUCUUGUUUGUCGGCUAGUUCUCAGAGACUAUAAGAGCUAGAGCCACCAAAUUCUGGCUCCAGGCUCAAAAAUUAGCCCCGCCCCCGAAAAAGGGCGAAAACCUCCCAAACCUACAAUUUUGAAGAUAAAAGAUAACUAAAAACGCCAUUCCGUAGGGAAUGACCAUAUCUAUCAGAUCACCAAAUUGGGAUCCGAUUGGAUCAUUAUUAUGGCCAGAAUGAAGAAAUUAAUAUGCAAUGGCUAAACCCACCUUGUCCCGCAGCUUUUGUUGUUCUUUUCACAUUCUCUCAUUCACACUCUGCUUCGGCUUCUCUCGGCCUCUGCCUCUG
rnacentral:lncRNA from 1 species